AAAGAAAUGAGGGAUCCUGAGGUCACUGUGCCACGUGGGUCGUCAACUGAAUGUGCCAAGGAACGUGAACAUGAGUCUGCUCACAAGUAAUGCAGAGUGAGGCUGAAGAGGCUGAAAAAUACUCCUCUCGAUCCUGUAGUCCAUUGCUACAUGUUCUUGCCUCGGAGCUGAAGCCAAAGUUGCUGUUUAUAAAAGAAUCAUCAUAUCAUUAAAGAUUUGAGGCUCCAUUGCUUCAGGCUUUUCAGCGGGAGAGUUGUGCUUGUGGCACGGAUUGAUGAGCCUGGAUUGGGUCCUCAGCCUUCCAGACAGCUGUGAAGAUGCUGGGUAAGACCAGCAGGUGCUGUUCUUGAAGAAAGGAAAA